UAUUCCCAAUCAGCAAACUGGGUCAGUGAUCCAACAGAUAACCUUGUGGGAUAGAUCGCGUGUUACGAGCAGUGUCCUUGUUGUAACUUUGCUGAUCAUAUACAUGUAAAGAUUGCAAAAAUCAUUACCACUCAAUUGCAAUCUCUCUCCGAUCACCACUUUGAGUGCAUUUGAGCCUGGAUCAGUAAACUUGUUGUGCAUAGAGAGAUUGUCAGAGGUGAUUGUCGACACUUCCUCUGACAAGACAAUGAUGAAAAGCAGGGAAGCACAAGACAGCAUGAAGAAGGAGCACAAGUACGUCAAGAUGGCAAACGUGGUGAUCCUCAUGCUAUGGUCAGUUGUUCUGGCUAAGCCACUAAAGCACACAUAGAUGGUGAUAUGGAUGCUGGCGGUCCUCGAGGUGGCACUGUCCGUGGUCCCUUUCAAGUAUGUCGAUGAAAGUCAAAAGGCUGCAUUUAAAUAAA